AGGUGGUUUUGUCAUGAGGCAUCGUUGAAUAUGCUGCUAUGAACGACGGAUACAAAAUACAUCAGACUAAGCAUUUUUAUGGUGUCUAGGCAUACACUUCAAAGUCAGAGAUUUCUUCUACGUUGAAAGAAACUAACAUGCUGAAUUUUAAUUUGCUCUUUUCUCUGGAAAUGUAAAGUGCUUUGCUGACCUCUGCGAAUGGAAAGCAUCUCUCUGAUGGCAGAGGAGUGAAGGCGAGAUAGCCAAGUCACUGCUGCCGCGGGACACCUGCACUGACCCACUCAGGUGCCUGAGAGGUGGAGACAGCAGGCUGGCGAGUCUGACGGAAGAGACGCUCUGGAAAACUCAAAUAGAGAGAGAGAGAGCAUGCACAUGCAC